rnacentral:rRNA from 1 species
GAUGAACGCUGGCGGCGUGCCUAAUACAUGCAAGUCGAGCGAACAGACGAGGAGCUUGCUCCUCUAACGUUAGCGGCGGACGGGUGAGUAACACGUGGAUAACCUACCUAUAAGACUGGGAUAACUUCGGGAAACCGGAGCUAAUACCGGAUAAUAUAUUGAACCGCAUGGUUCAAUAGUGAAAGACGGUUUUGCUGUCACUUCUAGAUGGAUCCGCGCCGCAUUAGCUAGUUGGUAAGGUAACAGCUUACCAAGGCAACGAUGCGUAGCCGACCUGAGAGGGUGAUCGGCCACACUGGAACUGAGACACGGUCCAGACUCCUACGGGAGGCAGCAGUAGGGAAUCUUCCGCAAUGGGCGAAAGCCUGACGGAGCAACGCCGCGUGAGUGAUGAAGGUCUUCGGAUCGUAAAACUCUGUUAUUAGGGAAGAACAAAUGUGUAAGUAACUAUGCACGUCUUGACGGUACCUAAUCAGAAAGCCACGGCUAACUACGUG